rnacentral:rRNA from 1 species
UACGUAGGGGGCAAGCGUUGUCCGGAAUCAUUGGGCGUAAAGAGCGUGUAGGCGGCCCGGUAAGUCCGCUGUGAAAGUCGGGGGCUCAACCCUCGGAUGCCGGUGGAUACUGUCGGGCUCGAGUACGGAAGAGGCGAGUGGAAUUCCUGGUGUAGCGGUGAAAUGCGUAGAUAUUGGGAGGAACACCGGUGGCGAAGGCGGCCCCCUGGACCGGUACUGACGCUGAGGCACGAAAGCGUGGGGAGCAAACAGG